GCUGUUUACUGGGGAGACCUGCUGUGGUUGCCUAUUCACUUAUUUAAAGUUGCCAAGAAUCAGAAAUACUUCCCUCAGCAGCCUGCACAGUUGUUUAUUGUUUUCUCAAAUCUCUUAGGUUCAUCCGUUAGUUAUUAGAAGCCUGGAUCUCUUCAGCAGUUGGAAUGGACGAUUAUAAAUAAGCGGAAAGUUCCCUCUUCUUCGUUUAUGAAGGAUCAAAGUAGAAAUAUGGGAAAACAGAUGCAUGAAGUGAGAGAAUGUCAUUAAAACAUUCGUAACCAAAGGGGCCACUUUAAUCAAGAUCUGCUAAAUGUUAAGUAACAAGUAAAUGCUGGAAGAGAUCGUAUUAUUCAUUGUUAAGGGUCUGUCAGUUGGGACUGUAGACUGAGUGGUGAUCAUAUUCCACUGUCUCAUCCACCAGCUAGGGAGGCUAAUUAAUUUCUCCUCAGUAACACUGAAGUCCAUGAUGAAGGCAGUAGCCUUCCAGCCCUAGAAACCUGGUAUGACAAACAUUUCCUUCUUUAAAAAGAGAGGCAAACUUUGCUUAUUCUACUUGGUUGCAUAUUAAAAAAAAAAAAAAAAUCUGUCCAGUUGCUAUAUUUCUUCAUUCUGGUAAACCUUCCAGAACUUUAGCUGGACAUGACCAGUGGUUAAUCAACAGUGGCUAUGGCAAAACAGUCAACAGACAGAAGGAAAGGGGUUGCAGCAGUAUAACGUGCCAGUCUAUAAUCAAGGCGACACCCAGUACUGAUUCUAUCAGCUAUAGUCACCCUAAAAUUGAGAAUAAGGCCUGGCCAUAGCAAUCACUAGCAAAACUUUAUUUUUUAAGUGCUUCAUUAAGAGAGGAGGAGGUAAACAAAACACAUCAAAAGUUGGAAAUCCUUCACUAAAAACAGGUAAGAAAUAAAUGUCCUAGGAUAAUUCCUUGUUCCCCCUCAAACUGAAACUCUUUCCCAAUUAAAUCUUUCUUUGCUUUUCUUCCUUCAGUUUCUUUUGUCUUCUGUUUUUUUUCUUCUAGAAGCUCUGUUGCCACGACAUAUGCUUCUUUCUUUUUCCUAAAGAAUCUUCCAGCAACUCCUUUACUUAAUCCUUUGUUCCCCUUCCAUUUCCUUUACAUUCAUUAUGCUUCAUGUAAUGGGUAUUUGUUAGCUGCAUAUAUCUCCACUAAUAGAAUGACACUUUCCUGUUGAGGUGUCCACCAUUUUAUUAGGCCACCCAUCCUUCAGGAAAAGUCAUCUCUAUCCCCUGCUCCACUGCUAUCACCCGCGCACAGUGGCUCUUUCCCAGUUUAAAAUCACUGCCUUGCCAGUCGGAUCGAAGCCAGUCAGGACAUGGCAUUCCCUAGCCCACAACCAUUGCUGCUGACACAGGGCAGAGGUCCAGGAUGAAUGGAUUGAAAGAAGAAAAGUCUGCCUGUUACAUGAGCUAAUAAAUUUACCGUAUUCUUUUAGCGAGUAGUGUUAUGUUUCACUGCAUAAUUAGUAUGUGAAAGGUCAGAUAAUUUGCAUCAUAUUGGAGAAUAGCAAAGAGAAUAAACUUUAUUAUUACAUUUUUCACAUGGUUGAAUGCUCAACGAAAUGAAGUUGGAUUUACAACAGCUCUCCUCCUCACAGAAAGGAAAGGGCUGUGGGAGACGGAGAAUAGAGAGAGACCGGCAUGAUAGUGUGCGUCCACCCAGCACACAAGUCCCAGAAAGGGGAGAUCCCACAGGAAGAAGACCUUUUAAAUCAGUGGUAGCUCUUUAAAAACAAACAAAACUCAUACAUUUCUGGUACGUCAACUAUUUUUCCUGGAAACUUAAAUCACUUCAGGAGUCACCUGGGGAUUGCAAACUCAGAACAAUCCCGAUUUCCGGAGACUCUCAGUGGCCUCAAUCUUUCAAGCCAGCAGACUACUUAGUGACUUUGCUGUUUCUGUGCAGUGCUUGAAUGACAUAGAGUUUAAUGGCUUAAAAGAGGAAACGCUAAUUCCUUGUGGCCUGUAUAUAUCAAACAACAGAGGCACCUGGAAAUGCUACUUUCUUGGUUUGGGAUUCAAUUAAGAUUUUUAUCAGGUGCUAUGCACAUUAAUUAUAUGCUGUGUCACUUAAUUUUCAUAACAAUCUGCGAGUCAUUAGGUUGAUAACAAAGACAAAGUUGGACAGGAAACUACAAAGGAGUUCAAUUUGCUGGCGCUUUCAGUGCAUCAAAGAGGCUAGAGAGUAGUAGGAGUGGCAAUGGCUCUGGAGUGUCUCCUGUCUCUCUUGGGAGGCUGAGGGACCACAAGGAGGCAGCUUAGAAAAGAAGCUAAUAAGCUUUGAAUAUUUUGAGUUUGAGGUGCCUUUGAAGCAUCCAAACAACAUCAGAUAUCAGAUAUUCAGAAAAGAGGCCUGAACUGAAGACAGGGUGUGGAGUCAUCAGUACACGGAAAGUAGUAGAAGCAGUGGAUGUGGAUGGCAACAUCUGGGGAGAGCAUGGACCUCAGGAAAUAUAAGGAACAAAGAAUCUGUAGAAAUACCACCAUUCAAGAGGCCCCAGGGAACGAAGAGCACAGAUGAUUAUUUUAACCCUGAGGACCUAGAUGUGGCCAGUCUUUGCUGGGACCACUGUCGUCAUCGUCAUCGUCACCAUCUGACACUGGCUUUUAUCAAGGGUUGCUCCCUGAGCCUGGAUGCCAAUCAUUCACCUCUCCCUGGCAAAAGUAAUAAAUCAUAGCGAGAAACUGACUGCCUUUGAAGAAUAUAGAAGAUAAAGAAACUGAGUGUUUGAGAACUGGAAGGUGGCAAAAAGCAGCAGGAGGCGAAGAGGAAAAGAUCAAGUGGAAAGAGUCAGCACCAUGUGUACUUUGCUCAGCUCGGAACUUGAACCCUUCUACAGAGAUCACGUCUGUCUGAGCCUCUUGAAUUGCCAACCUUGUGAUAAACAAUAGGGUUGGUCUGACUUACAGUUGGAAAUGUCAAAGCAGGCAAUGUUGGUUUUGGUGACGUCUUCACCUGCACCAAAGUGAAGAAAUGCCAAGCAAGGUGACUCCUUAACUGUGAAAUGAAAGGAUUGGGCUAGAUCAUCUGCAGAGUCCCUUUCAACUCUAACAUUUUGUAAUCCACAAUUCUGGUUCUGGAAGGAAACAGGCAUGAUCUCCAGAAAUUACAAACAUUCAACCAAAAAGUGCCAAAAUUCAAUCAAAAGUGAAAAAACAAAUAAUUCUUUAAAUCUUCCAAAACAGGAAGAUAAAACAAAACAAAACAAAAAACAGUUUCAUUCUUUCCUUCCAUUGAAUGCUGGAGUUUAAAAAGCAG